rnacentral:rRNA from 1 species
UACGUAGGUGGCAAGCGUUGUCCGGAUUUAUUGGGCGUAAAGAGCGUGUAGGCGGCUUUACAGGUCCGUUGUGAAAACUCGAGGCUCAACCUCGAGACGCCGGUGGAAACCGUAAGGCUAGAGUCCGGAAGAGGAGAGUGGAAUUCCUGGUGUAGCGGUGAAAUGCGCAGAUAUCAGGAGGAACACCGGUGGCGAAGGCGGAUCUCUGGGCCAUUACUGACGCUGAGGAGCGAAAGCGUGGGGAGCGAACAGG